rnacentral:rRNA from 1 species
AGAGUUUGAUCCUGGCUCAGAAUCAACGCUGGCGGCGUGCUUAACACAUGCAAGUCGAACGGUAAGGCCCUUCGGGGUACACGAGUGGCGAACGGGUGAGUAACACGUGGGUGAUCUGCCCCAAACUUCGGGAUAAGCCUGGGAAACUGGGUCUAAUACCGGAUAUGACCUGAGAAUGCAUGUUCUUGGGUGGAAAGAUUUAUCGGUUUGGGAUGGGCCCGCGGCCUAUCAGCUUGUUGGUGGGGUAAUGGCCUACCAAGGCGACGACGGGUAGCCGGCCUGAGAGGGCGACCGGCCACACUGGGACUGAGACACGGCCCAGACUCCUACGGGAGGCAGCAGUGGGGAAUAUUGCACAAUGGGCGCAAGCCUGAUGCAGCGACGCCGCGUGGAGGAUGACGGCCUUCGGGUUGUAAACUCCUUUCGCUAGGGACGAAGCGCAAGUGACGGUACCUAGAGAAGAAGCACCGGCCAACUACGUGCCAGCAGCCGCGGUAAUACGUAGGGUGCGAGCGUUGUCCGGAAUUNCUGGGCGUAAAGAGCUUGUAGGCGGUUUGUCGCGUCGUCCGUGAAAACCAGUGGCUUAACCAUUGGCUUGCGGNCGAUACGGGCAGACUUGAGUAUUUCAGGGGAGAC